ACAACCGAGGUGCAAAGGCUGUCGCUGACCCUCAAAGGUUGUGCACGCCCGAGCGCUCUCACACAAUCCAUCUCACCUUUGUGCAUCACCGCGUGGGUCCCCUUUGCGGGAGGGCUCGCGUUUUCACAUAAUAACUCGAUACAGUGUAGAAUGUUUCUUUUGCGGUCACACGCAAUCAAUACAACUUUCAACAACGGAUCUCUUGGCUCUCGCAUCGAUGAAGAACGCAGCGAAAUGCGAUACGUAAUGUGAAUUGCAGAAUUCAGUGAAUCAUCGAAUCUUUGAACGCACCUUGCGCCCCUUGGCAUUCCGAGGGGCACACCCGUUUGAGUGUCGUGAAUUCUUCAAAACCCUUUUUUCUUCGAACCAUCGUGGUCGGGAAAAGGAUUUUUGGACUUGGAGGUUUAAUGCUCGCCCUUUCUUUUGAAAGCGAGCUCCUCUCAAAUGAAUUAGUGGGGUCCGCUUUGCUGAUCCUUGACGUGAUAAAAUGUUUCUACGUUUUGGGUUUAGCACUGUCGCUUNNUGCCUGCUCCUAACCCGUCUUAUUGACAAUGAUGGUGCUCUGGUCACUGCCGUCUACAUCGGCGGGAGGCUGGACCCACAAAAAGAAAAACCUUGA
rnacentral:rRNA from 1 species